rnacentral:rRNA from 1 species
AUGGGUAGGCUCAGAUUAGUGCACCUGCAAUUCAUCCUCGAUAGGAUCCGUGCAUGCCUCGCAGGCUGGAAAGGGAGGCUCAUGCCCUUCGCCGGCAGACGCGUCCUGGUACGCUGUGUCCUCUCGGCAAUGCCCACCUUCGCCCUCACUGUGCUGCGGGCGCCCAAAAAGUUUUACAAGGAAGUGGACAAGGCAAGACGAAGGUUCCUCUGGGCGCAAGACGAGGUGGCCACCGGUGGAAAGUGCAAGGUGCGAUGGCCGGCGGUGACCGCGCCAGCGCACGCUGGAGGCUUGGGCAUCCACGAUCUGGAGAAGUUCGCCCGAGCACUGCGCCUGCGAUGGCUAUGGCUUGCAUGGACGCAGCCCUCACGCCCCUGGGUUGGCACCAACUCCCCAUGCGACGACACCGAUCGCGCCCUGUUCGCUGCCUGCACGGCCGUCACCGUCGGGGACGGCUCCAGGGCUUCCUUCUGGCACUCUUCCUGGCUCAACGGCAGGCAGCUAUGUCAGGCAUACCCCGCAGUGUUUGCCCGCUCCGCCCGCAAGAACAGAUGCGUCCAAGAAGCCCUGCAUCAGGACCGAUGGGUGCUCGACCUCCGUCACGGUGAUCAUGGCGACAUUAUGCACAUGGUGCUGCAGCUUGCCAGGGAGAUCAGAAGUGCCGGCAUCACGCUUCAAGCUGGCAGGGCCGACACCAUCACCUGGACCCGAGGCAACUCCGGCAGCUACUCCACGCGCUUCGCCUACGAUGUUCAAUUUGAAGAGCGCCCGACACUUGACUUCACCACAACCAUCUGGAAGGCCUGGGCACCCGACAAGAUGAAAGUCCUCCUUUGGCUGCUGCACUUAGAUCGUCUAUGGUGCAACGAUAGGCUUCAGCGACGCGGAUGGAUCAACAACUACUUCUGCCAGCUCUGCCUAUGCAACCUUGAGUCCUCGACGCACCUGUUCUGGGAAUGCACCGUGACCAUUCAGUGCUGGAACGAGAUGGCAACCUGGCUAGGAUGCCACUCUUUCAGUCAUUCCGUCUGGAGCGCGGGAAGGUCCAUGGCCGAAAGGGUUCGCCGGAUCAUCGAUGGAGCCAACCUUGGCACGAGGAAGGGCACCAGAUCGCUGCUCAUCCUGAUGAUCUGGCAAAUUUGGUUAGAGCGGAAUGCGUGCACCUUCAGAGGGAAAUCACCAUGUGCCAGCAGCAUCAUAGCGGCAUGCCGCCAUGACAUGGAACAGUGGAGGAUCGCCGGAGCUAAAUGCAUAGCGCACCCCUUCGGGGACGUGCCGUGA